GACGAACGCUGGCGGCGUGCUUAACACAUGCAAGUCGAACGGCGAAGCCCUUCGGGGUGGAUCAGUGGCGAACGGGUGAGUAACACGUGAGCAACCUGCCCCUGGCUCUGGGACAACCACUGGAAACGGUGGCUAAUACCGGAUACGACCCGCCUCGGCAUCGAGUGUGGGUGGAAAGUUUUUCGGCUGGGGAUGGGCUCGCGGCCUAUCAGCUUGUUGGUGAGGUGAAGGCUCACCAAGGCGACGACGGGUAGCCGGCCUGAGAGGGCGACCGGCCACACUGGGACUGAGACACGGCCCAGACUCCUACGGGAGGCAGCAGUGGGGAAUAUUGCACAAUGGGCGAAAGCCUGAUGCAGCGACGCCGCGUGAGGGAUGACGGCCUUCGGGUUGUAAACCUCUUUCAGCUCCGAAGAAGCGAAAGUGACGGUAGGAGCAGAAGAAGCACCGGCUAACUACGUG
rnacentral:rRNA from 1 species